CCCGGUCCCAUUCCGAACCCGGAAGCUAAGCCCUCCAGCGCCGAUGGUACUGCACCCGACAGGGUGUGGGAGAGUAGGACACCGCCGUGC
rnacentral:rRNA from 1 species